rnacentral:rRNA from 1 species
UACGAAAGGCAGCAGUGGGGAAUAUUGCACAAUGGGCGCAAGCCUGAUGCAGCGACGCCGCGUGAGGGAUGAAGGCCUUCGGGUUGUAAACCUCUUUCAGUAGGGAAGAAGCCGGCCUUUCGGGGUUGGUGACGGUACCUGCAGAAGAAGCGCCGGCUAACUACGUGCCAGCAGCCGCGGUAAUACGUAGGGCGCAAGCGUUAUCCGGAAUUAUUGGGCGUAAAGAGCUCGUAGGCGGUUUUGUCGCGUCUGCCGUGAAAGUCCGGGGCUUAACCCCGGAUCUGCGGUGGGUACGGGCAGACUAGAGUGCAGUAGGGGAGACUGGAAUUCCUGGUGUAGCGGUGAAAUGCGCAGAUAUCAGGAGGAACACCGAUGGCGAAAGGCAGGUCUCUGGGCUGUAACUGACGCUGAGGAGCGAAAGCAUGGGGAGCGGAAC